AACGAACGCUGGCGGCAGGCCUAAUACAUGCAAGUCGAGCGCGCCCUUCGGGGUGAGCGGCGGACGGGUGAGUAACGCGUGGGAAUAUGCCCUUCUCUAAGGAAUAGCCUCUGGAAACGGAGAGUAAUACCUUAUACGCCCUUUGGGGGAAAGAUUUAUCGGAGAAGGAUUAGCCCGCGUUAGAUUAGGUAGUUGGUGGGGUAAUGGCCUACCAAGUCUACGAUCUAUAGCUGGUUUUAGAGGAUGAUCAGCAACACUGGGACUGAGGCACGGCCCAGACUCCUACGGGAGGCAGCAGUGGGGAAUCUUAGACAAUGGGCGCAAGCCUGAUCUAGCCAUGCCGCGUGAGUGAAGAAGGCCUUAGGGUCGUAAAGCUCUUUCGCCAGGGAUGAUAAUGACAGUACCUGGUAAAGAAACCCCGGCUAACUCCGUGCCAGCAGCCGCGGUAAUACGGAGGGGGUUAGCGUUGUUCGGAAUUACUGGGCGUAAAGCGCACGUAGGCGGAUUAGAAAGUAUGGGGUGAAAUCCCAGGGCUCAACCCUGGAACUGCCUCAUAAACUCCUAAUCUAGAGUUCGAGAGAGGUGAGUGGAAUUCCGAGUGUAGAGGUGAAAUUCGUA
rnacentral:rRNA from 1 species